AGAGUUUGAUCAUGGCUCAGAACGAACGCUGGCGGCAGGCCUAACACAUGCAAGUCGAACGCACCGCAAGGUGAGUGGCAGACGGGUGAGUAACACGUGGGAACCUACCCUUCGGUACGGAAUAACUCAGGGAAACUUGAGCUAAUACCGCAUACGCCCCUCGGGGGAAAGAUUUAUCGCCGAAGGAUGGGCCCGCGUCGGAUUAGCUUGUUGGUGAGGUAAUGGCUCACCAAGGCAAUGAUCCGUAGCUGGUCUGAGAGGAUGAUCAGCCACACUGGGACUGAGACACGGCCCAGACUCCUACGGGAGGCAGCAGUGGGGAAUAUUGGACAAUGGGCGAAAGCCUGAUCCAGCCAUGCCGCGUGAGUGAAGAAGGCCUUAGGGUUGUAAAGCUCUUUUACCAGGGACGAUAAUGACGGUACCUGGAGAAUAAGCCCCGGCUAACUUCGUGCCAGCAGCCGCGGUAAUUC
rnacentral:rRNA from 1 species